CAGUCGCCGCGGUAAUACGGAGGGGGCUAGCGUUGUUCGGAAUUACUGGGCGUAAAGGGCGCGUAGGCGGCCAUUCAAGUUAGAUGUGAAAGCCCUGGGCUCAACCUAGGAAUUGCAUUUGAUACUGUUUGGCUUGAGUUCGGGAGAGGUGAGUGGAAUUCCCAGUGUAGAGGUGAAAUUCGUAGAUAUUGGGAAGAACACCAGUGGCGAAGGCGGCUCACUGGCUCAUUCUAGACGCUGAGGUGCGAAAGCGUGGGGAGCAAACAGGAUUAGAUACCCGCGUAGUCCCUGUCUCUUAUAA
rnacentral:rRNA from 1 species